ensembl:lncRNA
GAUCGUACCACCAUGUCAAUCGGUGCAAACCACACAUGUCCACUGACAUCAUAAAGAAGACGGAGCAGCCUCUGGGGCCAGCAGCAGAUAAAUGUUGGAGCGGAAAGAAGCUUCCACAGGGCUCAGCUCGCUCUCUCUGAUUAAUGAUCGCGAUGCUCACCAGAGGUUUGAAACAGUAAACGCCUCUGAGAGACACACUCAGGUCUAAACAUCUCUGAAGCAGAAAGAAGGGCAGUUGACAGGUCUGUAUGGAAACACUGCCAAAUGUGUACUAAAAGAAGCAAGCACACAGUUUUCUCCAAGGACGGUAUCCAACACCUCUGUGGCCCAGUUUGAGCUGAUCCAGUGUGUCAUAAGCUCAGGAUGGGUUCAUUUUUCAUGUGUGCAUCAAGGUCUAGCCUCAAGAAC